GGACCUCAAACCCCCAGGAGUUUCUUUGUAAAAGCCUGAGCCAGGGAGGAGAAAAGGAGUGCCACUGGCAGCCAGGGAGAAAACUGGCCCAGGUAGCAUUUCUUGUCUGUUUUUACGAUGCAGAGGAGACCCGAGUGGGGACAGGGAGAGACCAAAGGCGGAGAAAGAGAACAUGGACUCCAAGGACCCCAGGAAAGGCUCUGAGUGACAUCAGGCUCUGGUCCGGCGAACUCACCGUGAGCGACCUUCCUGCCAGAUUGGAGGACUUGACGACCUCCGUCACGCUGACGCGCAGGCGCGAGCAGCCCGGAGCGGAGGCGGCGUUGGGCACCGUGCACUGGGAGAGCCCUGAAGCCGAGUGAGCGGGGAGACGCGUGAGUGGGAAGCUGGGGCUUCUGGGUCCUGAGAAGACCACCACGAGCCUGUCUUCCCGUCCUGCCUCCAGUUCACACCGCCCGGCAGCCUCGGCCUCCGCUUCAGGGCUUCGGGUCGGUCCCAUCCACGCUCCAGUCUUCCCAUCCCCUUCCCCGGAGAAUCAACCGCGGUUCUGAACCCACGGUGAUCACCGCUCCAAACCCCAGCGCUACAGCUUGAGAAAGUGCUCUCCCUCUGUAGCCCUGGCUGGCCUGGAACUCACUCUCUAGACCAGGCUGGCCUUGAACUCAUGAUCUUCUUGUCUCGGCCUCCUAAGAGCUGGGGUUGUAGACCUGGGUGACUGCACCAACCUACAAAGCAUCUGCUGUGUGCCGGCUGUGUUCUAGGUACUGUGGGGAGAAUGGGGAGCGGAUCUAUUUCUGCCUAGGUAACCGUCCUUGUGUGCUCAGAAGCAACCUUCCCCAAGCCGGUGUGGGUCACAUUCCUGAACCCUAAACUGGAAUUGCGUAGUUCUCAGAGACACCAUGGGGCAACGGAGAGGGCCAUCCAGUGAGAAGGCUUGGUUCUGAGUCUCCCGCAGCGGCGGCCUUGAGGUUAUUUUCUUUGCUUCUGUUCCCGCUCAGGAAGGAGUUAGGGACACUGACAAUAGCUGUCUCUGAGAGUUCACAGAAGUCCUGCACCUGACAGAGGGCUGCCAAGCUCCUGGAAGGUGUGUUCUGUGUUGCCAUCUUUUCAUCCUUCCAGGAGGCCAGCGAGCUCUUGAUGAAAGCUAAUGUUGAUGCUAUGCUAUGUCUGUAUAAGCUGAUUUUUAAGAAAAGAUUUAUUUAUUAUUUA